rnacentral:rRNA from 1 species
CGAAGGCAAGCGGAUCUCUUAAAGACUGUUCUCAGUUCGGACUGCAGUCUGCAACUCGACUGCACGAAGCUGGAAUCGCUAGUAAUCGCGGAUCAGCACGCCGCGGUGAAUACGUUCCCGGGCCUUGUACACACCGCCCGUCACACCAUGGAAGUCUGCAAUGCCCGAAGCCGGUGGCCUAACCACUUAUGUGGAAGGAGCCGUCUAAGGCAGGGCAGAUGACUGGGGUGAAGUCGUAACAAGGUAUC